UUUUUUUUUUUUUUAAUCUUUUCUAGGGCUGCCCCCUGGGGGUUCCCAGGCUAGGGGUCUAAUCAGAGCUGUAGCCACCAGCCUAUGCCAGAGCCACAGCAGCAUGGGAUCCAAGCCACAUCUGUGAUAUACACCGCAGCUCAUGGCAAUGCCGGAUCCUUAACCUGAUGAGCAAGGCCAGGGAUUGAACCCGCAAUCUCAUAGUUCCUAGUCAGAUUAACUGAGCCGUGACGGGAACUCUGCCAACACAGCUAUUUUUAAGUUUAUUUGCCUGUCUCCUCUCCUCAUUCCGCUUUCCACUGCAGAAGGUCAGCCUCACAAGGCGGGACUUUUCAUCUGUAUUGCUCACUGCUUUAUUCCCAGGGUCUAGAAUAGUGCCAGGCACAUAGCAUGGGCUCCCUUAAAAUGUGCUAAAGCAGCAAAUGCUGAAUGUACAGACCUGAGUGCCUGGGAGCCGGGGCCAAGUUCUACCACACAUGCUCCUUCCCUCCUCUGCACUGGCAAACAGGGGACGUCUCAGGGAGCCUCCCGCCUAAACCAGGCAGCAUCUGCUCAUUGUCCAGAUGAUUCCAAAGCCGCUUUGGGGAAGAUGCGGGAACAUCACCUGCACACCCCGGAUCCUCCCUGAUGGACUAAGCUGCUAGCUGAGGGGGAGGGAGCAGCUAGGAUGAUGCAAAAGGCCAGGCGGGCUGGCAGCCAAAUGAAACCGUAGCCAGGUGACAGGACAGUGGCACGGACAAAGGCCUCACUGCCUCCUGGAACCACUGCCAAGCAUUGGGCCACUCAGGGCUAAUCGCAUCUGAGUGCGGUGCUGCAGGGGAGGGCCCACAUGCUGGCAGGGCUUCCGUCACUGCCUGCUUGCUGGAGGAAGCCCAUUUGUCACCACGUGAGGCCAACAGGGUGCUCCCAAUUACAUACAGGGAGCGAGGCCCAAAGCAGGGAGCACAAGUGCCUCCUGGUCCAAAGGCAAGAAAAUAAAAAUCCGAGGGUAGAAGCAGGUGCCUGGGUCUAGCCGGGGUUGCCAGGGAAUCUAUGUUCAUGGGGGUGGGGACCUGUUAACCCCCAAGGCUGCGGCCCAUGGGAUUUUUGCUAACCGUCGGCUCGUGGCCUGGGCUCUGGGCAGCAAGACUGUUAGAAACCUGGGUUCGAAUCCCAGCUGACCCUCCACACUGGGGGUUCCAGGCUGCAGAAGAACUGUCCUUUUGAGCUUUGUGGCCUCAAACAAGUCCUUCAUAAAAAGUGCAUUGGGGUGAAGGGAGGGUUUGUCUGCUCUGCUAACCUAACAGUUUACUGGGAGUAUAAAAGACGGCCGAGGAAGGGCCCGGGCAACCACAAAGCACGGAGUAGAGGUAGGCACGAAGGGGUUGCCAGUGGGCCCUUUCAGGCAGCGGGCUGUGCAAUAGGGAACAAAGGCAGUUGGGGGUGGCCUUCGGUUACCUGAAACCAACUGGCUUUCAUGGCAUGUCUCUCAUCUCCAGAAGUUGUGAUUUUUUAGAAUCACAUUUAAAGCCCAUUAAUGGACAACCUCAUGGAAGCCCAGAGACACACAAUUCAUUUGGGUUAUUCUGAAUAAUUCCUUUAGGCAGAUACACUUAUAUUCAGCUCACAGUCCCAUGGCAGUUCUCCAUUUGUUAAAACUCAUACAAAUGGAAUCCUUAAAUAACACCAAAACUUAGGUAUUACCAUGCUCAUUUGAUAGGACAUAAUACUAAGAGGCUCAGAGAGCUUGGAUGAGUCACACAGCCGGUUUGUAUCAGAGAAAGGCUUUGGGUCCAGGCCUCUGAUUAGAGGUUAGAUUCGUGUCAACUGUAUAGAUGUGACUCUCCUUCCAGAGUCCCCGCCUCCCCUUCUUUAUUGGGGUCUUUGGUUUGGGGCCCACUUUGGCUGUUUGCACUGCUUAACCGGUUUAUUGGGAGACUAAAAGGCAGCCAUGGAAGGGCCCUGACAAACCUAAGCAGAACUGUCCUUUCGAAGAGGGCAGUCUGGAGGAGAGAGCUCCCUGUGGGAGGAGCUAAUGUUCCCAGAGCUGAGCAAUGGCCACUUCCCCAGCAGGUGCCACCCCACUGGGGCCUGAGCAUGGUAGGGCAGCUCACAAGGUGUGCAGCUCGCCUGCCCUGAGGCCCUGCCAUCCCUGGCAAGGCGGACACGACUGUCCCAGACUCCGGAGUGGCCUGAGAAGGGGGUUUCAGUAGAUCUCCUUGAUAUGAGACGAAGGACAUCCUCUCUCCUUAAAAUCGGUGCAGUUCACUUACUUCCCUGUGGAGAGCUUGUAUUUGGGUUGGAAUGCUGAGAGUAAAGCAGAGGCAAGAAAACUUUCAUUUAUAAUAAAGGUGAAAGUGGGAGGUUCCCAUUGUGGCUCAGUGGUAAUGAGCCUGACUAGUAUCCGUGAGGAUGCGGGUUCGAUCCCUGGCCUCACUCAGUGGGUGAAGGACCCAGCAUUGCUGUGAGAGGUGGUGUAGGUCACAGAUGCAGCUCAGAUCCCGUGUUGCUGUGGUGUAGGCCAGUGGCUGCAGCUCUGGCUCAACCCCUGGCCUCAGAACCUCUAUAUGCUGCAGGUGCAGCCCUAAAAAGCAAAAAAAAAAAGAAAAGAUGAAAGUGCUCUCAUAUUUUUAAAUGACACUUCAUAUAUUACCAAUCAAGUUUGCAUCCAUUAGCAAUUUAACUUUUAAAACAGCCCUAUGAGAAUAGCUAUAACCUGUGAGGUAUUAUUAUUCCCAUCCUAAAAUUGGGGGAAACUGAGGUUUAAAAGUGCCCAGAUGACUUGUCCAAGGUCAUAAGUCUGGAACAGAGACCUGGUUCUUCGAUCUAAAAGUUCAGGGCUUCACAGAUGACAACUUUUUUUCUUUUCUUCUUCUUCAUUUUUUUUUUUUACUUUCCACAGGUGAGAAGUUAAUGAACAGUAAAUUCAAAGGUUGAUUAAAGGACUUGUAAAGGGAAUCCCCUUAAAUUCCUGGUAGCAUCACUACUUUUCUCUGCAAAUCAUAAAAUCAGGCUAAUGGUGUCUAGUCAGCCCUCAUCAGAAUAUAAUCCAAUAUCAUAGCAAAUGAUGUAUGGAGACAGAAGGUAUGUAUUAAGAGACUCACUGGUGGUUGCUCGAGGCUAGGUGCAUGGACACUGCCUUUCCAGGCCUGGAGGGUUGCUUCAAUGAGCAUUUCUUUCUUGCCACAGCUGGCAGUGGCUUGAUGUGGGAUCUCAGUUCCCAGACCAGGGAAUGAACCUGGGCCACAGCAGUGAAACUGCCAAGUCCUAACCACUAGAACACCAGGGAACUCCCUUUUUUGGGGGGAGGUUUAAGGCUGCACCUGAGGCAUAUGAGAGUUCCCAGUCUAGAGGUAGAAUUCAAGCUGCAGCUAUCAGCCUAUGCCACAGUCACAGCAAUGUGGGAUCUGACCCAGUCUGUAACCUACACCACAGUUGACGGCAACACUGGAUCCUUAAUCCACUGAGGAGAGCCAGGGAUCAAACCCACGUCCUCAUGGAUUCUAGUAGGGUUCGUUACCACUGAGCCACAAGGGCAACUCCCACCCUUUCUUUUUUUUCUUUUUUUUAAAGAAAAAGGACCCUGACUUUUGAAAUGUGGCAAAUGGAUCAAGGUAGAGCAAGACUUAGAAGGCAGAUUUGCAGCCACGUGGAUGGACCUAGAGAUUAUCGUAUUAAGUGAAGUAAGUCAGAAAGAGAAAGACAAAUGCCAUAUGAGAGAACGCAGAAAUAAACCCAGACACCUAUGGUCAAUUAAUCUUCGACAAAGGACAGAAGAAUAUAAAAAGGGGAACAAGACAGUCUUUUCAGCAAGUGAUGCUGGGAAAACUGGACAGGUGCAUGUAAAUCAAUGAAGCUAGAACACCCCCUCACACCAUGCACAAAAAUUAAUUCAAAAUGGCUUAAAGACUUAAACAUAAGACAAGACACCAUCAAAUUCCUAGAAGAGAACACAGGCAAAACAUUCUGACAUCAACUGCACAAAUGUUUUCUUAGGUC
ensembl:lncRNA